rnacentral:rRNA from 1 species
CCUACGGGUGGCUGCAGUGGGGAAUAUUGGACAAUGGGCGAAAGCCUGAUCCAGCCAUGCCGCGUGUGUGAAGAAGGCCUUCGGGUUGUAAAGCACUUUCAGUGGGGAAGAAAGCCUUGGGGCUAAUACCCUCGAGGAAGGACAUCACCCACAGAAGAAGCACCGGCUAACUCCGUGCCAGCAGCCGCGGUAAUACGGAGGGUGCGAGCGUUAAUCGGAAUUACUGGGCGUAAAGCGCGCGUAGGCGGUCUGAUAAGCCGGUUGUGAAAGCCCCGGGCUCAACCUGGGAACGGCAUCCAGAACUGUCAGGCUAGAGUGCAGGAGAGGAAGGUAGAAUUCCCGGUGUAGCGGUGAAAUGCGUAGAGAUCGGGAGGAAUACCAGUGGCGAAGGCGGCCUUCUGGACUGACACUGACGCUGAGGUGCGAAAGCGUGGGUAGCAAACAGGAUUAGAUACCCGUGUAGUC